rnacentral:rRNA from 1 species
CUACGGGAGGCAGCAGUGGGGAAUAUUGCGCAAUGGGCGAAAGCCUGACGCAGCGACGCCGCGUGGGCGAAGAAGGUUUUCGGAUCGUAAAGCCCUUUUCUAGGUGACGAGAAAGGACGGUAGCCUAGGAAUAAGUGUCGGCUAACUACGUGCCAGCAGCCGCGGUAAUACGUAGGUGGCGAACGUUAUCCGGAAUCACUGGGCGUAAAGGGUCCGCAGGUGGCAUGUCAAGUCGAUUGUGAAAGCUCCCGGCUCAACUGGGAGAGGACGGUCGAAACUGGCAAACUAGAGUCCGACAGAGGUCGGCGGAAUUCCCGGUGUAGUGGUGGAAUGCGUAGAUAUCGGGAGGAACGCCAAAAGCGAAAGCAGCCGGCUGGGUCGAGACUGACACUGAGGGACGAAAGCGUGGGUAGCGAACAGGAUUAGAUACCCUGGUAGUCC